ACUUGUGCUGAGCUACUGGCUGAUCCCCAAGGACAUCCUUCUGGCCUCUCCUUCACACCUGGGUCCCCUAGCCCUGCGUGAGCUCUGUGCUUCUUCCCCUGCCCUGUGUCUGCUCUAUGCCUGGAGCCUCUGUACCUGCCCUCUCCUCAACCCCCAACCCCUCCCUGCUCUCAGCUCCCGAUACGCGUGGCUAUGCCUGGGAGGGAAGGACAGCUUCUUAGGGCCACAGAUGGAGUCUCGCUCUAUCACCCAGGCUGGAGUGCAAUGGCGCGAUCUUGGCUCACCGCAACCUCCAUCUCCCAGGUUAAAGCGAUUCUCCUGCCUCAGUCUCCUGAGUAGCUGUGAUUACAGGCGUGCGCCAUCACACCCAGCUAAUUUUUGUAUUUUUUAGUAGAGAUGGGGUUUCACCAUGUUGGCCUAACUCCUGACCUCGUGAUCUGCCCAUCUUGGCCUCCGAAAGUACUGGGAUUACAGGUGUGAGCCACUGCACCCGGCCCAAACAUUUCUUUUUCUUUUCUUUUGAGACAGAGUCUUGCUCUGUUGCCCGUGGCUGGAGUGAAAUGGUGCGAUUAUAGUUCAC
rnacentral:lncRNA from 1 species